rnacentral:rRNA from 1 species
ACCACUCUUAAAAAAUAAGCAGAUGAACAGGCCCGAUCUCGUCUGAUCUCGGAAGCGAAGCAGGGUCAGGCCUGGUUAGUACUGGAUGGGAGACCGCCUGGGAAUACUGGGU